rnacentral:lncRNA from 1 species
CUUAGUGAGACCCUGUCUCAAAAAAAAUUUUUUAGACAGGCUGGACAUGUAGCUGGGUGCAAAGGCCCUGGGAUCAAUCCCCAAUAAUGGAAAGCAAAAUCUGGAAGUUCUGUUGGGACAUACUGAUCUACAGUUAUUAAACUAACUGAUUCUUAAGUGGUGUGUGUGUGUGUGUGUGUGUGUGUGUGUGUGUGAACACGGACACAUCAGGACUCCCGUUAAAGGUGCUCACCUCCCUUCUGAACAGAAAUCAGACUUGGUCCCAACAGCUCCUGGCUUUCCUAUGUGCUCUGAGCUGAGAACUGGGCAGGGUGGGUCAUUUUCAUAGGCUGAGGAUGAGGGCACCGAGGGGGAAAGGAAUAGGAGAGCAGGAGAGGUUUA